rnacentral:rRNA from 1 species
CCUACGGGAGGCAGCAGUGGGGAAUAUUGGACAAUGGGCGCAAGCCUGAUCCAGCCAUGCCGCGUGAGUGAUGAAGGCCUUAGGGUUGUAAAGCUCUUUUGCCAGGGAAGAUAAUGACUGUACCUGGAGAAUAAGCCCCGGCUAACUUCGUGCCAGCAGCCGCGGUAAUACGAAGGGGGCUAGCGUUGUUCGGAAUCACUGGGCGUAAAGCGCACGUAGGCGGACUUUUAAGUCAGGGGUGAAAGCCUGAGGCUCAACCUCAGAACUGCCCUUGAUACUGGGAGUCUUGAGUAUGGUAGAGGUUGGUGGAACAGCAAGUGUAGAGGUGAAAUUCGUAGAUAUUUGCUAGAACACCAGUGGCGAAGGCGGCCAACUGGACCAUAACUGACGCUGAGGUGCGAAAGCGUGGGGAGCAAACAGGAUUAGAUACCCUGGUAGUCCACGCCGUAAACGAUGGAUGCUAGCCGUUAGCCAGCUUGCUGGGUAGUGGCGCAGGUAACCCUUUAAGCAUCCCGCCUGGGGAGUACGGUCGCAAGAUUAAAACUCAAAUGAAUUGACGGNUGAGAGNGCGACGACGACGACGAGGGAGAG